rnacentral:rRNA from 1 species
AGCAUAGGCAGAUGGAACUGCUGGUGUAGGGGUGAAAUCCGUAGAUAUCAGCAGGAACGCCGGUGGAGAAGUCGGUCUGCUGGGCUGCGACCGACGCUGAGGCACGAAAGCUAGGGGAGCGAACCGGAUUAGAUACCCGGGUAGUCCUAGCCGUAAACGAUGCUCACUUGGUGUGGGGGCAUAGAGCCUCUGUGCUGAAGCGAACGCGUUAAGUGAGCCGCCUGGGGAGUAUGCCCGCAAGGGUGAAACUCAAAGGAAUUGACGGGGGCCCGCACAAGCAGUGGAGCGUGUGGUUUAAUUGGAAGCUAAGCCAAGAACCUUACCAGGGUUUGACAUGCUGGUGGUACGGACUCGAAAGAGGAAGGACCUUAUCGAAAGAUGAGGAGCCAGCACAGGUGGUGCACGGUCGUCGUCAGCUCGUGCCGUGAGGUGUUGGGUUAAGUCCCGCAACGAGCGCAACCCCUACUCUUAGUUACCAGCACGAAAGGUGGGGACUCUAAGAGGACCGCCGGCGACGAGCCGGAGGAAGGAGGGGAUGACGUCAGAUACUCGUGCCCCUUAUGCUCUGGGCGACACACGCGCUACAAUGGUAUGGACAACGGGAAGCCAGGUAGCGAUACUGAGCAAAACCCUAAAACCAUACCGCAGUUCAGAUUGUGGGCUGAAACCCGCCCACAUGAAGCUGGAAUUGCUAGUAAUCGCGGAUCAGCCACGCCGCGGUGAAUACGUUCCCGGGCCUUGUACACACCGCCCGUCAAGCCACCCGAGUUGCGGGCACCCGAAGACGCGUACUCUUAGGGGGCGUGUUGAGGGUGAACGUGGUGAGGGGGGCUAAGUCGUAACAAGGUAGGUGUACCGGAAGGUGCGCCUG